CCAACGGACACAGAAGAGAUACGUGGCAUAUUUUCUCCAGCCGAAGAACAUUCCGUCAAUGACCAGCCUAAAGAACAGACGGAUGAGGAUGAGGUGGCAAGCAUGGAAGUAACCCACAGCCAGUUUUCUUCAUAUGUGGCAUGGUACAAACAAUAUGAGAAUUCACGGCACGGUUCUGAGGCAGUACCAGCGAUGGUCAAAAUACCUUACAGGAUGAUGUUGGAUGUUCUUUUAGAGACUCUGGGCCUUCCACCAGCCGAGUACCGAACCAGA